UUGAAAGGGAAACGAUUGAAGUCAGUCGUACCGACCAGAAAUCAACUUAUCGUGUGCGAACUUGUGGGCGUGCGUGAGUUUCGGCCUCGCUGUUUGCAUGUUUGUGCGUUUUGGGUGUACUUUUUCGUAUGGUAGGCCAACGUCAGUUUCGAUUAUCAUAAAAUGACCGGCGGAAUGUAGCUUCGAUUUCGGUUGAAGUGUUAUAGCCUCUGGUAGAUGUGGUAAUUGAGACUGAGGAUUGCAACGAAUACCCUUUGGGCUAUCCGUCUGGCCUCUGAAAGUUGCUCAGGUGCCGAAAGCGUGCUUACGGUUAUCUAAGAUAACGUUCAACAGGUUAGAACGUGAUUGCAUUCGUUAAGGAUGUUGACGUA
rnacentral:rRNA from 1 species